GAUGACAGAAUUUUGAGAAACAUACAGGGGAUAGCAGGAAUUGAUCAAAAGUGUAGAGCUGUUAAAACUUUCCAGUUUGUCCAAAGAAUGGAAGACUAUGGAGGGAUGAAACCAGAAAAGCAGGCUGGGGUCUUGUUGUAGAUGGAUUUUGGAAUUUUUGUAAGCUUUCCUCCAGGGCGAAAGUAUUACCUCUGGAAGCUGGCUGGAGCAGCACCCAUCCCUGUGGGGUCUCCGUCCAGGCUGGCCACACUCUCCUUUAUGCCACAGCCCUCAUGUGGAGUUUGCAGGCCGUCUCUGGAGUAGAAGUCCUUUGUGUGGUGCUUGGGGCUCUGACUUGUGUUGAGCCCCCUUGUCUUUGAGUUGAGAACCCACCGACCCAUCCCUCAGCCUGGAGAAACAUCUAGGUGUUGUGAAGUGGGCACUCACUCCCUAGAGCUUCUCAUUGACUGGAGUCCGGGGAUGCCCACUGGUGCAGCCAACAAGAGGCAUUUUCUCCACACUGCCUUUGCACAACCACCCAUUAUCCAUUCCUCACACACUCAUACCAAUACUUAUUAAUGUUAUUUGUCACCUUUAUAUAUUAAAAUGGUAUUGUAUUGCUUAAAUAUGCACUCUACUAGUAAGGAAACAUUUUAAAUUUGU